UAUCAGCUUAUUUUCUUCGUAAUUUGUAAUUUGUAUUUUACAUAUCAUACUUGGACUUGAUAUGGUACCAUUAUUAUUUUAUUUUGAGAACCCUCGACGUUAUUGCCACUAGCGAACUGCGAACACUUAUUACGUAUUCAUUUUUAUUAGUAUUGCUAUCACAAAUUUUGUUGUCAAGUUUUGUGAUCUUGGUGUAAACCAGUGGCGUCAUUUCAGUUUUCGGAAGUUUUGCAAACGUUUAGACCGGCCUAUAAAUGGGUAAACAACACAUUAGCACGACGGUUUUAAGGGGCCCUACUAUUGACCGAAUCAUGUGCCAACUGCCAAUUGCCAUUUUGUAUAUUUUGUUAGAUGUUCAGGAAGAGAACUCUUUCAUAAAAAAAACUCUUUCACACCAGGCCCCGCAAAUCCUUGAGCCGGCACUGGUUAUAGCAGUGAAAAUGCAGCGUUAGCGUGAUGUUCGACCGUCAAUAAUCGGACCCGUGAAGAAUUCCAAACGAGGCCAAUGUCCA